CUCCCAAAUUAGCAAACCUGGCAAGCCCGCAGCUCAGAAAAUAGUUCAUCCUGAUUCCAUGUUUUUCAGGCUCACAGAAGCCUUUAUUAAUGAAGUCACAACACCAAUAUUUACCGUCUGCAGGGAGAGGCACAACAUGGGGGGUGGAUGGGAGUGCGGCAGGGACUCCCCGCCCCGCCCCCCGCAGGCCUGGCCUCGGGAGACUGGCAGGUUUCCUUGGGUCCCUUCCAGCCCUUUAUUCGGAUGACAGGGGGUGCUCUGCUGUGAUCUUCCUGGACCCCCUCCCCCUACCAAGUGAGGCAGGAUCUUGAGAGGAACAGCUCACCCCUUUCUCUGUCCCCCACUGGGGCCAAAAGGAUGACUCUUCCUCCCACCUUCCUUCCACACCUGGGCAUGUGUGCUCCCAGAAGUGAUCCCACCUGCUUGGCAGUGAGGGUCGCCAUGUGGGAAGAACAGCAUGAGCGAAGGCACAGCACAGGGAAAACCUGUGGCUCACUCAGGGACAGGGAUGGGGAUGCUGAAGCAAAGGGUACCGGGAGCAAGGCAAGAAGAUGGGGCAAAGGGGCUCAGAAGGGGGUGAGUCUGCCCUGUUUGGGUGCAAGGAAGAGAAACCUAGCUGCAACAUGGAGGGCCUCCUUUGAAGUGGACCUCAUCCUUGACAUUCACAGAAACCUCCCUAGAGGAGCAGGGCCCAGGCCAGGCCGGUGGCAGAGGGAGCUGGGCAGGGGGGUAGGGGGUGCUGCAUUAGGGAGGUGUGGUUGGGAAGCCAGUCUAGACUCAACCCACUAGAUGGGAAUGGAUGGGGCUGGGGAAGAGGAGAGGAAGCUUGAGGAAGAUUCCCAGAUUUCCUGUAGCUUGGGAAACUGUGUACAUGUCUAAUGCUGUUUGUCGAGGUGGGUGAUCCUGGAGAAGCACAGAUGGGUAGGUGCGUCCGGCUGUGGAUGUAUGGGCUUUGAGGUGCUGAGGGGCAGGGGGUGGAGCAGGCAGCUGGCUUGACGGGUCUGCAGCUCAGCAGAGGUCAGCUAAAGACACAGGCCAGGGAGCCAAAGAGAAGUCCUGGAAGUGGAUGUGAUCCCCACAAGGCAAAGGACAUAAUGAGGAGUCAGGGAGAGCAAGGACUGACCUGGGGGUGGCCAGAGGUGACAAGGCAUGGAUCACACUGAAUGAACUCAGGCUGAAGGAGGAGUCAGAGCUACCGAAAUGAAGGCAGAGCGGGGUGGGAGAAUCCAGGAGGGCAUAGCCAACAGAUCAGGGAGCAGGUGAACCCAACAGGAAGUGGUUGAGUUUGGCCACAAGGGGGUGGCCAGUGACUGUGGUUGGUGACUGUCAUUAGCACCGGCAGAAUGGUGGCAUGGAGGCCAAAGAGCAGAGGUUUCAUGAGCACAUGGGAGGUGAAGAAGAAAGAGAGGGGUCUGGAUGUCGUAAGGGAAAGACUUAGGAAUGCAGAUUUGCUUGUCAGGAAACCUUCAUCCUGACAAGUGGGACAAACAGAAGGGCAGGUGAACACAAGAGCUCAGCGGGCCCUGGCACGUUGCUCUUUCUUGGGCUGAGGAGGCCCUGAGUCACUGGGGACUGGUUGCAGGCUCAGCCUUAAGCCCUGUCUCUG
rnacentral:lncRNA from 1 species